GACGAACGCGGCGGCGUGCUUAACACAUGCAAGUCGAACGCUGAAGCCUAGCUUUUGUUGGGUGGAUGAGUGGCGAACGGGUGAGUAACACGUGAGUAACCUGCCCCCUUCUUUGGGAUAACGCCCGGAAACGGGUGCUAAUACUGGAUAUUCACUGAUCUUCGCAUGGGGGUUGGUGGAAAGGUUUUUUCUGGUGGGGGAUGGGCUCGCGGCCUAUCAGCUUGUUGGUGGGGUGAUGGCCUACCAAGGCUUUGACGGGUAGCCGGCCUGAGAGGGUGACCGGUCACAUUGGGACUGAGAUACGGCCCAGACUCCUACGGGAGGCAGCAGUGGGGAAUAUUGCACAAUGGGCGAAAGCCUGAUGCAGCGACGCCGCGUGAGGGAUGGAGGCCUUCGGGUUGUAAACCUCUUUCGCUCAUGGUCAAGCCGCAACAUUGGUUGUGGUGAGGGUAGUGGGUAAAGAAGCGCCGGCUAACUACGUGCCAGCAGCCGCGGUAAUACGUAGGGCGCGAGCGUUGUCCGGAAUUAUUGGGCGUAAAGGGCUUGUAGGCGGUUGGUCGCGUCUGCCGUGAAAUCCUCUGGCUUAACUGGGGGCGUGCGGUGGGUACGGGCUGACUUGAGUGCGGUAGGGGAGACUGGAACUCCUGGUGUAGCGGUGGAAUGCGCAGAUAUCAGGAAGAACACCGGUGGCGAAGGCGGGUCUCUGGGCCGUUACUGACGCUGAGGAGCGAAAGCGUGGGGAGCGAACAGG
rnacentral:rRNA from 1 species